rnacentral:rRNA from 1 species
GCCUCAGCUUGAAAAAAAAAAUGAGUAACCUGCCCUUGACUUUGGGAUAACUUCAGGAAACUGGUGCUAAUACCGGAUAGGAGCUCCUGCUGCAUGGUGGGGUUGGAAAGUUUCGGCGGUUGGGGAUGGACUCGCGGCUUAUCAGCUUGUUGGUGGGGUAGUGGCUUACCAAGGCUUUGACGGGUAGCCGGCCUGAGAGGGUGACCGGCAACAUUGGGACUGAGAUACGGCCUAGACUCCUACGGGAGGCAGCAGUGGGGAAUAUUGCACAAUGGGCGGAAGACUGAUGCAGCAAUGCUUUUUGUGGUAUUACGGCCACCAGCGUGAUCUCCGCGUACGGAGG